GAAGGGAGUCACCUGAGCUAUGUGAGUCGUGGGCUGAGGAGGAGGUCGCUUUUCCCGAUCCAUCCCGGAGGGUUUUCCCCUCUCUCGCCCCAUGAUCCUUACCCAUUUUUGCUAUCGACUCAGCCCUAUCUAUUCAUCUCUCUUUUUUUACAUGAAGUUUUUUGUUCUCUUGUUCAUAGAUCUUGAAAGAGGAUCAAUAGAGAUUUAUCAAAGGAUCUAUCAAUAGAAAGAUCUACAAUCUCUAUCAUGAACGUUUUCAACCGGAUAUUUGUGAAAUCUUUAGUUAAGGGGUGCCUCUUGCAAAGGUCACUACCUCACCUUCUCUGGUUUGACAAGUGGCUUGUCGCAACCUGUGAGUCUCCCUUUUUCAUAAUUUCGUUUUUUGAAUAUUUAAUCUCUUGAACCAUGUGUCCAAAUACCGAAUUGUUUUCAUCGUUGGAUUUCCCGCCUUGAGAUCUUCGAAACUAUAUCCCAGGUUAAUAUAUUUCCACGAUUUUUUCGACAAAAAACUAAAAAUAAAAAAACCUUUAAAUCCAAAAAAUGAAUACCAAAAAACAAAAAAUUUGAAACCCCCCAAAAAACUGGUUCGUGCAAAAAAAAUGGCGAAUACCGAAAAAGGAAGAAAAAUAUUGAAUCCUGGAAGAACGGUUUGCGGUUUUGCACUUUGCUUGAAGGACAGGCUAUGUUUUUCCUAUAUAUUUUUUUGGAGAAGCACAACUUCUCACAUAAGCAAAUAUGUGCUUCGCGUGGAAGAACAUAUUUUUUCCCAAGAAGCACUGCACGGAAGCAAAUCCGUGCUUCCAUGAGAAGCAUUUGCUUCUCGUGGAAUCACAAAUUUUCUCCCUGAGAACACAAGUAUGUGCUUCUCGUGGAACACAAUUUUUUUUGUGUUUCGCAGAUAAAAAAACUUCAAAACCUACCCCUUCCAAAACAAACUCAUCUACAAAUGGAAAAUGUACUCUAAAAAUAUACAAAUGGAAAAUGUGUAAGAAAAAAAUGAAAUCCAAAGAGAGGGUCUAGCACGCGACAUGUCACGACCGUUAGACGCAUCUGCUCCCGCAUAUUGGCUGUCUAAUUCGGUAUGGGCCACAUCUGCUGAUGCUUGGGCCUAAUGUCGGCCGCUUGUAGAGAGGAAAAUUUAAAGCCCUCUGGUCAACUGGGCCUCUAGACAGCCCAUUUAACUAACCGAGCCACGGUCCAUAACAGUUCGGCCUUAGCUUCCUCCCCUCGGAGAAAGCGGACGAGGGGAUCAAUCGGUCGUUGCGCUCCUCCCACCCCCUUGGAAAAAGCUCGAUGCACCCCCAAAAAAAAAAACUCGAUGCGGUCGUCGGCGAGGUUGCGGGGCAGAGCCCAGCCGGCGGAGGCGACGCGGGCGUUGUGGUUUCGCCAUCCCGGUCGCGGGCCAACUCCGUGCGGUAGAGGUUGGUUGGGGCCUCCCGGACCGCACGCCGAUGUAGAUCGACGCCAAUCGUAGUUUGGCUACUCGGCUGUUCGUCGAGCGAAACUGCUCCGCGGUUUGAACGAAGCAAUCAUUCCUCGCUUUCGGGAGGAAUCCAUGGCGGAAUGCGGAUGAUGCGGCCCCCUUGCCGGCGGUGAUUAAUGCAGUAUUCAUACUGCUGUGGUCAAUUGAUUCGGCCAGAUCUUUGGAGAUUGGUUAUCACAUUUUUUUUUACUCUCUGGACAGCGAGUGAUGUUCCAAAUUGGCAUUCUUCAUCAGAACUAAGGUAUAAGGCGCGCCUUCAAAACAAGGGAACAGUAAGUUGCCAAGUAACAUGUAUCAAAGAAAUGGAAUGGUUAGCUUCUGUACUUCUUCAAGAAUUUCUGAAAGGAUAUAAUAAACAGGUACCAUGUUACAAAGUUCCCUUUAUUGAUAUCGUUGCAAUCUUUCGCAGCGUGUUAGCCACCUUAUUCUACCAAUAUAUGUUCCAGAAUUACUCGGACCAGUUUGUGUUUAGAUGAGUGUUCCUUUCCUAUUUGCAAUGUUCAUGAUAUCGGUAACUGGUACCGUAACGUUCGGGUGCUGAGUAGGGAUAAAUAAGCGAAUUUUCCAGUUAUUCGGCCGAUAAAUCAGUUAAUCGUCUUUUCGGUGACCCACCGAGUAACGAUUAACUCACUGAGAUGCCGAUUAACUAUCCGAUAUUUGGAACAAUUCCUAUUCAAUUGACUCCGUGAAUAUUUUUAAUGUAUCGGAUAUAAACAGCAAAGUACUUAGAUACCUGAUGUGGCAUAGGUCACAGGUUAUGUACUCUUGUACUACUACUAUAGGUUCUGCUAUUUUACACACAACUAUCUAUGAACAUACUUGCACAUCCAUAUCUAAUGUCAGAUAAAUAUAUAUGCUCAUUUUCCGUUGUUUUAAGGCUCAUCCUCAGGUUCAUUACAUCGAACCAGAUGGUUGCAAUAAUCUCCAUUAUGAACAAUUGUUGGUGUGUUCAUGCUGAUGCUUGGAGAAAUAAAUCAUUUUUCUAAGCUUUGGUUCUUAUUUGUAGAAGUUGGACGCUUAAUUAGACAUCCCUCCUAUAAAAAUGAAUAUUGAUGCUUAAAAAAUACUCGGUUUCUUUAACUAAGCACCUUGCAUUGUAUAAGGCAGUGGUGCGGUUGGCGAUCCUGCACCCGUCAAUACAUAUUCUACGGCCAACUAGCCAAAAUUAACACUAAUGGCUAUUGUCUACUUUUUUUUUGAGGGAAAUGGCUAUUGUCUACUAAUCUGCCUAUGCUGAUGGAGGGCCGGGCCAAGGCAUGUGCAGCCUGUGCUGCCCGGACAGGGCCCCAAGUUUAUAGGGGCCCCGAAUUUCAUAGGCAGCACAUAGGCCCAUCCAUCAAGCGAACCUCUCGUGCAGGAAAAAACAGCCCAUAUGCCCAGCAAUCUCACAGACAGAUCAGCAAAAAGGUAAUGCGAUUUAUUCACUACUCCCAGAUUUCGAACCCGCAACCCCGCUCAGUAAAAAAGCUGCGGCAACCAAGCCAGUUGUUGAAGUUUUCUACUUUUAUACAGGAAUAAAUUUUAUAAGUACUCCCGCCUCAGUAUAUAAGUCACUGAGGUGCACGCUUCCUGCCAUUUAUGGAUAUAUUUUCCAAAAUGCCUCUUGGAAGCGUUUUUGUUUGAUGGAUUAAGACAUCUCAAACGCCUUAGUAUAUCCAAUAAGCAUAAUGGGAAAACACCUUUUUUUGCCAUUUUCAUCAAAAUGCCUAAAAGGAAAUCUAUAUGAAGAUUUUAGGCACAUAUCCUGCACAUGGAUGACGACUAGGUCCAGCGCCACAAGCGCAGCGGAUGUUCUUUUGUAACGAGGUAGGCCCAUCUUAGAGUUUGGCACAGGGCCUUGAUUUUGCCGGCCCGGCCUAGAUUGUUAAUUAUGACCGUAGCUAGCUUUUUUCACCUAUGUACUUCCUCCGUCCCAAAAUAAGUGUCUUGUACUAAGCUUAGGACACCUAUUUUGGGACAGAGGGAGUACUAAACUACUAAUAAUAUGCGUUUAGUAAAUCUCCCUCAGCCCUCAUCUUAUACAUGUCAAAAUUGUACAACCAUUUGUAGUUCUUUUGAUUGUGCGAUCGGUGACGCUAAUUUUGGAACUUGCAGUUAUGAAAGGGAAUUAGCAGUUAUGUUCUCUUCUCAUGAAUUUAUAAAUAUUUGAUCUUAUGGUAAGUCAUAGUGGCAUAUACAAAUGUAGCUGUAUUCCUAUAACGCCAAAGGGGCACAUUAUCGUUACAUUUUAUGAUAAUUAUUUUUCUGCACCGGCCUAUUAUUUUUAUCAACUAGGUUUGGCCUUUGCCAUACUCAAAUCCUGGUUGCGCCACUGGGUCGAGCGGGCAGGCGGGAGAGCGGCCACAACGUUGUUUUGGCUACUCUUGGUUAUCGUCCGCUCUUCCUAGAUCCAUGUGGUUCCUCAGAGAGCUCCGGGUGGACGUCGGCUUCGUCAUCAUCGGUGGACAGUGACACCACCCGAUGGCUAGCCAAGUUCCAAUCUCUCGCUUACCUUAGUUGAUAGGUUUUGGCGAAGUAUUUUUAAGUGAAAUUUGUGUUCCCAGCUAGUACUAAUAUGUGUUCCUAAUGUGAAAACUUGUGCUCAAAACUAAUAUGUGCUUCCAACAUGUGCUCCUAACUAUUACAGCUUAUAGUUAUGAAAGGGAGUACUAACUUAUGUGCUUUCAACCACACCAAGAUGUGUCCUUAGCGUGAACCUCCUUCAACGUGAACUAACAUGGUCUCCCACAAUUGUGCUUCGAGAAACACAUAUGUGCCUCCAACGUAAACUAACCCAUGCUCUCACCUACGACACGUGGUGGUGCUGAGAUUUGCCACAUGGAGCGCUCUAGCGCUCCCACCGUGGCAGUAAUGCAAAGCGGGUUGUUCCAUCCGGCACAAACCAUCUACACCACACUAGGCAGGAUGAUGAGAAUUUAAUGGAUGACCCAGUUGAUGAAGAAGAAUAAAAGGUGUUGCAUAUAUACCAAGUCAGUCCUCACGGGCUGACUCUACCGCACUUCAAAAAACUAUUCAGGACUUUGGGCUUGAGAUAGUGGAGCACGAUCUCCUUGUCCGUGGGGCGAAAUCUGAAUCCUGGUACUAGCCACCAUGGUGUACUACUUGUCUCAUCAACUUCAGUAGACGUCUCGGUUGCUUGCUCGUCGGAUACAUCACUAUGUUCCGUUGUAAUCGAGCUAUUCAUGCUAUCAGAAUCGACAAUGUCGUCGUUGUUGCUACUCGGUUGCUCUACGGCCGAGCUAGUCAAGUCAUCGCUGCUGCCACCAAGCUGUGUUGACGAUGACACCAUGGUACUGUUCCAAGUCGUCAUUGUCGCGCUGCAAUGCGUGACGAUAUUGCUAUCAGAACACACAAUGUUCUGACCAGGACAUGAGUCUUCGUCUUUUCUAAAGAUUUUGUUGGUCGAAUCUUUGAAUGUUCGCUCUAUCCAAUCGGGUGAAUCGUUGUCACUGUUGCCACCAAGCUGGGUCUGCAUUGUCGAUGAUGCCAGGGUACUGUUCUCCAUGGGUCGAUGCAACAAAAAUUCUGCCGACCUCGUUAAAGCCGUCAUUGUUGAACUGCAUUGCGCGUUGGUGUGGCUGUCGGAACAUACACUGCU